AGCUUUUUUAAUAAAUAAAAAAAAUCUCCCUUAGAUGAAAAGACAAAAUGGAGGCAUUACAUUUUUAUAAGUUUAAGUCAACCCAACUAUAAACUGCAGUUUGCUUAUCCAAUUAGAUUCCAAGGAUUCUGGGACAUUAUUGAUGGACUUGGCUUUUCUGCAGGUGCCAGCGACCCAUUUGUGUGAUGAUUCAGCUAAAUUCAUUACCCAGAAUUCUCUGCACGGCCGAACAUCUCAUUCUGUGCAAAUGGUCUGAUAUGAGCCCGGCAGGCAGUGCCCCACGCCCCGUUCUGAGCCACUUUCCCGAGAGAGAAGGUGUCUGAUUCAAAGGACAGACAGAGUGGCAGGGCGUGCGUCUGAUGAUGGGUGAUGAGGGUAAUGGAUCAUGGGGUUUAUUUUUCGCCGUGAGUGGGGUUUCUAUUUCACGGGCGACGUGUACAGAGCCGCUGUACACGCUGUGCUAAGGCAGUCCAGACAGAAUAUUCUGUUUCGAUGAUAACGCUCCAGGUAAACAAACGGCUCGGGACCAAGAGAGAGAGAUGCAAAGAGAGAAUGGUGAGGUAUUAAAGGCGUAAGGUACAAUUUUGUUCUAACCACCACGUUGCAUCUGUGUCUCUUCACUUCGACUUUCAUAAUUCCACUGCUGCACACGGGUGGAGCCGUAAAUACCACAGGCUGUAAGCUGCUGCUGGAAGGACAAUCAACAUGGCUGCAGUCAUCAGAACACAGGGCAUCAACGCUGACUAGUGCAUACAGCACCUCUACAUGGGAUCCCUGGGUCAUGGAACCUCAAGACAGGUUCCUGGAAGAGCCAUAGCCAUGGCCCAGGGACAAGAUAAUGGACUUACACUUAAAAGAAAUACAAUACUCUGGGAUAAUAUAAUGAAUGUAGGAGGAAUUGAGGAAAUGCAAAUGCAUGUGGACUCAAUGAAAUGAGAGCUUCCAGAAUACUUACCCGGUUUAUAAGAAUGCACUAGAGCUGGUGCCAAUGUUCUAAAGUGCAAUGGUGUCUUGGGCAACUUAGGUCUUGGAUUCAGAGCCCCUACACCUCGCUCAGAGUCCCAAGAUACCUCUGAGUUUUAGCAGCCCAAGCCAUCAGCCCUCUGAGUACCGAAUAAGGUAACAGGUCCCAAGUACGCCGGAUUUCAGGAAUAGAAUUCAGGUCCCAAGACCUCCGAGUACUGAGACAUGUACCAGGUCCCAAGGCCUCUGAGACAAACUCAGAGGGGUGCUGGUGCCAGGCAUGGACUCAAAGAUGUAGUAUACUGUGGACAUGAGUGGCUCAACCCAUUGCCCACGACCAAGGGGCUGGAUCUGGCAGACCUGCACUGGCACCACCUGAAGGACCCGGCGCGUCCAUGAUGGGGUCAUUUCAUCACACUUCAUUAUUUAUCUGUCUAACAGAUGCCCUUAUCCGAGGCCACCUACAUCAUUAACAUAUUGCCAAUUCACACAGAUAUUUAUAGGGAUGUUUACAGAGGAAAUGCAGGGCGGGCGCCCAAGGGCGCGACAGACGCGCGCUAACUGGGGCUGGACAACCUUCGGAAACCUUCAGGUGACAAACGCUGUCCUCUGACUGAUGCGCCACAUCACUGCACACAUGUUCUCCCACUGAAAACGGCCCACAUACCUAUUCUGUCAGCAUAAAACACUGCAGCUGUCCAGGGCCUAAUAACGCAGUUAAACUUGCUUAAUUACAGCGUCUGAUUAAACAGGGACUGCUUAGGUGGAUUAGUACCAUGUGGACACUAGAUUGCUGACAUUCAUCAAUUUUUCCUUACCUGAGUGUGAGGAAAUGAACAAUGGCAACAGCAGCAGCAGCAGCAGCAACAUGGAAAGGAAACAGAGAAAACAAUUGGCUGUGAGCUCCAGUAAACACGGUACACGUAAACAGAGCACAGAUCACACAUUCCGAGCUUUAUUUGAGCUUUGAUUUCUGUAACUGGGUUAUAUACAUUAUGUAUGCAGUGAAUGCAUAACAUGGUUAGAAUGAUAUAUAAUGCUGAAUAAAAGAGAGCCUGAAAUGUGAAUUUUCCAAAAGACGUAGCACCGUAAGACACAGUCCACACUGCUAUAACCCAUCUGUAGUUGACAAAUGUUAGCAAGUAACAAUGCUACUGUCUUGUGUUUUCAUAAAUGAAAACCUUACACACACGCAUAUAUGUGUUGAUUAUAGAGAAACAGAAAACCUGUCACUGAAGGCAGAAUGAUACAUGGCCCAGCCAGAACAAGCGGGGGACGAAUCCACCAGUGUCAUAAAGGGCGUGGCCUCAGUGAGGGAGCAGUGCGAAAGGGGUCUGCCAAAGAGCACUUCUGCAAUUCUAUUUGCACACUUCCAAAUACUCAGCGCAACCUGAACUGCACGAUCGUUAAUGAAUACUUUGCAUCCGUCACUGUGUGGUGCAACACAAUAAAAGGUGUGUUUUUACACAAGAAGGACUGUUGU